rnacentral:rRNA from 1 species
UGGCGGACGGGUGAGUAACGCGUGGGUAACCUGCCUCACACAGGGGGAUAACAGUUGGAAACGACCGCUAAUACCGCAUAACCCGCUAGGGCCGCAUGGCCCGGACGGAAAAGAUUUAUCGGUGUGAGAUGGACCCGCGUUGGAUUAGCUAGUUGGCAGGGUAACGGCCUACCAAGGCGACGAUCCAUAGCCGGCCUGAGAGGGUGAACGGCCACAUUGGGACUGAGACACGGCCCAA